rnacentral:rRNA from 1 species
UACGUAGGGGGCAAGCGUUGUCCGGAUUUAUUGGGCGUAAAGAGCGUGUAGGCGGCCAGGUAGGUCCGUUGUGAAAACUAGAGGCUCAACCUCGAGACGUCGGUGGAAACCGUUUGGCUAGAGUCCGGAAGAGGAGAGUGGAAUUCCCGGUGUAGCGGUGAAAUGCGCAGAUAUCGGGAAGAACACCCGUGGCGAAGGCGGCUCUCUGGGACGGUACUGACGCUGAGACGCGAAAGCGUGGGGAGCGAACAGG